ACUCAAUAGAUACCCCGGUAGUCCACGCCCUAAACGAUGCAUAUUUGGUGUGGGCAGUUCAUUCUGUCCGUGCCGGAGCUAACGCGUUAAAUAUGCCGCCUGGGGAGUACAGUCGCAAGGCUGAAACUCAAAGGAAUUGACGGGGGCCCGCACAAGCGGUGGAGCAUGUGGUUCAAUUCGACGCAACGCGAAGAACCUUACCUGGGCUCGAACGGCUGGUCAACGGCGGUGGAAACAUCGCUACCCCGCAAGGGGGUCCAGUCGAGGUGCUGCAUGGCUGUCGUCAGCUCGUGUCGUGAGAUGUUGGGUUAAGUCCCGCAACGAGCGCAACCCUUGUCCUGUGUUGCCAUGUCGAAAGACGGAACUCGCAGGAGACCGCCAGGGAUAACCUGGAGGAAGGUGGGGAUGACGUCAAGUCCUCAUGGCCUUUAUGUCCAGGGCUACACACGUGCUACAAUGGACGGUACAAAGCGCAGCGAACUCGCGAGAGGGAGCCAAUCGCAAAAACCGUUCUCAGUUCGGAUUGCAGG
rnacentral:rRNA from 1 species